GGAAAGAGGGAACUUCCAGGAAGGUGUACCAACAGUCAGAGUAUCAGCAUGAUUUAAAGACAAGUGAGCCAGGAGAGAUACAUUACUCCUCCUUGAUGAGACAUCUUUCUUGGCGCCUAAUACUGUAUGCAGCUCCUGAGCAUCCAUCAGCUGAGAUGUCCUGCCAGCAAAGCCAACAGCAGUGCCAACCUCCUCCCAAGUGCAC
rnacentral:lncRNA from 1 species